AGUGAACGCUGGCGGUAGGCCUAACACAUGCAAGUCGAACGGCAGCACAGUAAGAGCUUGCUCUUACGGGUGGCGAGUGGCGGACGGGUGAGGAAUACAUCGGAAUCUACUUUUUCGUGGGGGAUAACGUAGGGAAACUUACGCUAAUACCGCAUACGACCUACGGGUGAAAGCAGGGGAUCUUCGGACCUUGCGCGAUUGAAUGAGCCGAUGUCGGAUUAGCUAGUUGGCGGGGUAAAGGCCCACCAAGGCGACGAUCCGUAGCUGGUCUGAGAGGAUGAUCAGCCACACUGGAACUGAGACACGGUCCAGACUCCUACGGGAGGCAGCAGUGGGAAAUAUUGGACAAUGGGCGCAAGCCUGAUCCAGCCAUACCGCGUGGGUGAAGAAGGCCUUCGGGUUGUAGAGCCCUUUUGUUGGGAAAGAAAAGCAGCAGGUUAAUACCCCGCUGUUCUGACGGUACCCAAAGAAUAAGCACCGGCUAACUUCGUG
rnacentral:rRNA from 1 species